CCCGCUCUGACUCCAGCAUUAUUUUUUAUUUUGGUAUUUCUUGUGUUUGACCCGGAUCGUGUGCUUUGACAAUUCUGUUCUGCCUUACCCUCUAACUUCAGACUGCCUACUGUGAAUGAUUUAUCGGACUUCCCGUUGGACUAUGCUUCUCAGAUUCCUUUGCUAUGUGACCUGGGACCAAAGGGCUGGUAUCCUGGGGUGAAUUGUCCACAACAAUUCUGGCGACGAGGAUGGGAUCCCUCGAGUGGUCGUCUAGAACGUCUGUCAGACAGGGCCUGGCCAGCCUGAGAACAACAAUUUUCUCAGGCCCAAACCUCAUCCAUAUUUCUGAGUGAUGGGGGACUGUCAGAGGAUGCCCUGGAUUAUCACUGACGGGAUCCCCAAGUGUCCAUUUGGAAAGAGAUUAUUCUCUGUGUCCUCUGUAUCCGCAGUGUACGGCUCUGAAGCUGGACCCCCACCUCAAUGCCUGCCCACCAACUGCACCACCACAGCCUGGACCGUCUGUCACGCACCAACUUCAGGACAGACCUGACGUCAAGCCCCAACCAUAUGACCCACCGGUCUCUCUGGGCCUUCUGUCGCCUCAGACAACACGCAGUGGUGCUGCGUAUGGCAUGAGUGCAGCCGCUGACCUGUCUUCCAAUGCUGAACUAUUAUUACCCCCCUUUCUUCAAAAAGAAUGCAUAAAGUAUUGACCAGCUAAACAAACAUACUGUAUUUAACUUUAACUUCCAAACCAAGUUCUGACCAGACCAGGUAUAUGCAACUUUGGAGUCUGUGCUGGAGUCUCUGGAUGCUCUGGGGUUACCAGAGUGUCGUCCGCUGGUUUGGCAGAUGUCUGUGUCUGAGGUGACGUCUGUUUCUCCUGAUGGUGCCUGAAGGGCUCUCUGCUACAUAGGAGCAAGGUGUGGAGUGGGAAGAAACCACCGUGCCUUCCGCCUUGGUAUCAGUAAUCCACACUGACUGACCUGGUGUGAGUUGACAUAGAUCUCGCACACGGUGUCUCCUGUUGAACACACUGCUAUCCUUCAACUUCCUCUCUCUUUCCUGAACUGUCACUGCAGCACUAUCUGGAAGAGUUGGGGUGAGCAGAGUGGGAAGGUGGGGAAUGGGUGUGCGGAUCCUCCGACCCAUAAGAAGGUGGGCAGGGCUAUAUCCAUUAGGGGGGCUGUACCCAUUAGACAGUGGGGUCACCCUGUAUGCCAAAAGAGCGAGAUAUGGAUC